CGUGGUUACAAUUUCAAAAUCCAUUUAUCAUCUCUUUUCAACAACUAAGAUCCCUUGAAGCUGUCCUCAGACAACCAUCACCUCUGGAUGUUCUACCACCACCAGACCUGCAGUAAUUCAGCUGAGUGUUUUUACAGGAGUUCAUCGUUGGUGCUGUUGUGGGGAAAUGACAUAGGGGCGCAGGUGUUCUUUAUGAUGGGCUGCCAGGACCGGCGACGAGGAGCAGGAAUAGACGUGACAGUACACCGAUUAGAGGGAUGCCCCGAGGGCAAGGACGGGCCAGUCAGCAAAGGUAGAAAUCUUAGAUGUUGUAUCUCGAAUGUUGUCCAUCGGUACCCAACACCGCUCCUCUGGACCGUACCCCUCCCAGUCCACCAGGUACUGGAGCCAACCCCCACGAUGUCGGGAGUCC
ensembl:lncRNA